AUGACUCUUGAACUACUUCAGUACUGUUGGUAUGAGCAAGAACAAAAAAUUCCUGCAGGCUGUAACAAAGUGUAAAGUGAUGAGGGAACAUCUGAGUGGUUACUCUGAAGACAGGACAGAGAUAUUGCUGCUUUUGCUCUCCCUCUGUACUUUAAUGGCAGAGGAAGUAGAGAUAGACAAAGUUAAUUUGACUCCCACCCUUGCUGUGUGUGGUGGAUCCUGCUUUUCUUCAAAGCGAUUCAUGCUGUGUGUGGAUCGAAAUGUUGUACAUGACAACAUCCCCUCCUUCAUUUCUGCUCUGUGCAUGAUGUUUGGGAGCUAUUAUUGCUUCAACAUCCAUUACCCAUCAGAGCUGGCAUCCACCCUGGAGUUUUUGCAGAGGAGUCUGACAACAACAGCCAGUGCACCACACAGAGGUCUGAUCUCAUCAUCAUCCAGUCUGUCUGGAAUGACAUGAAGAAACAGAACAAAGUGAGACAGACUAAAUCCAGAAGAACUGGGGCAACGUCUCCAAGAUGCUUCAAGAGACCUACCUGCUAAAACUACCUGAAAAACUAUGCGCCAGUGUACCUAGGGUAAAAGCUGCUUUAAAUGCAAAGGAUGGUGACACCAAAUGUUGAUUUAAUUUAGUUAAUAGAAGAAAUAAAAUCUAUUUUUGACAUUAUUUUUGACAGCAUCCUCAUUUUACAGCAUUUUUACACAAGUGCCUAAAACAUUUAACAGUACUAUAGCUUUGCAGGUAGGUAUCUUGAAGCUUCUUGGAGAAGUCUGUCUCAGAUCUCUGUGUGGAGCACUGGCUGUUGUCAGACUCCUUGUGCAAACAAAAAUCUCACUGGAUUAUUACAAUUUAUGGCAAAAUGAAUGUUUGGAAAUGUCAACUGAUAUUUCCUACUGACACAAUACAGAAGAAAGUUACAGUGUUUCACAACUGUUCUAGUUGCUAUUGCUCUACUAUUUUCUGAUUUCCAUUCUUGUAUCUCAUGUUAUUCUGAUUCCAAGGAUAUGCAGUAAUCCUUAGUUUUAAUGAUGGUACUAUUAUUCGUAAAAGAAACUCUUAUUUAUUCUUCAAACAUUUUAAGAGAGAAGUCCCUCCAUCUUUCCUUUGUCAUUUUUAGAGAAUCAUUAAUCAUUAAUCAACAUGCUCUCUGCUGUAUUGUUUGUAAAGUACACUUUACAAAUUUGUGUUGAGAACAGAUUUUUUUUGUUCACUUGUUAGAGGUCAAUAAAUGCUUCAAAGGGCAAAUUAUUAUUGGAUUUCUAAAUCUUUCCAUGCAGUAGCUCUUAAUGUAUAUCUAGCUUUAGCGUUUCAGUAUUUCAAAGCCUAAUCUGUGUACAUUGGGUUAUAUUUUUCACAUUUCUGAUCAAAGUCUAUAUGGUGGUGCAGUUUAUACGAAGCUAAAAUCAAUGUUUGAAAAACAGUUUCUCAAUCAACAUAACCUAGCAAAUUUAGAUUAUCUAAAAAAGGAAUGGGAGGAGGAUCUGAAUGAACACAUUUCAGAGACAACUUGGCAGAAAAUUAUUAAACAGAUCUAUUUGUCAUCUAUAUGUCAACGACAUGUGAUUCUGCAGUUUAAGGUGGUGCACCGAGUCCAUUGGUUAAAGGUUAGACUAUCUAAAUUCCGGUCAGAGCUAGACCCUAUUUGUUACAGAUGUAGACCAUCUCCUGUAAGCCUUCUACGUAUGUUCUGGACAUGCCCGAGUUUGUAUAAUUUCUGGAAAUUGAUUUUUGUUGCAUUCUCAGAAAUAAUAGGUUUGCCAAUAGAGUCAUCUUCUUUUAUUGCGAUAUUUGGUGUUACAACACAAAACAUGCACAUAAGUAGCUAUCAUUGUAAAAUGGUGGCCUUUUGCAAACUCCUUGCCAGAAGAUUAAUACUGCUUAAAUGGAAAGACCCCCACCCCCCUAUUUUCCCUCAGUGGAUUAAAGAGACCAUGCAGUAUCUUAAACUGGAAAAAAGUAAGAUACUCUCUACAAGGGUCUUACCAGAAAUUCUAUGCAAUCUGGCAACCUUUUUUGUCAUUUGUUGAAAAAGACAAGUAGGGAACACAACCCCAAUUUAUUUUUUAUUUGACUUUAUUUUUAUGUUUUAAUUAAUUAAUUAAUUAAUUAAUUAGUAUUUUUUUUGUAUUAAUUUGUAUGUAAUUUUAAUUUGUAAUUAAUUAUAUGUCUUCUUUGUACAAUGUAACUGAUGCUUUCUGUCUGAUGGGUAAAAGGUUGGGUUGGGCUAUGUUGUAUUUCUUCUGUUGUUUCCUUCCACACUGUAA